rnacentral:rRNA from 1 species
AGAAUUGAUCUGGUCAGGAUGAACGCUGGCGGCAGGCUUAAUACAUGCAAGUCGAACGGUAAGGCCUGAAGUGGCAACACGGAGGGUACACGAGUGGCGCACGGGUGCGUAACGCGUAUGCAACCUGCCCCCAACCGGGACAAAACAGCUGGAAACGGCUGCUAAUAUCCCAUAGUCAUGAGGAGGGGCAUCCCUCUUUAUGUAAAGAUUCAUUGGUUGGGGAUGGGCAUGCGUAUUAUUAGGUAGUUGGCGGGUAACGGCCCACCAAGCCGACGAUGAUUAGGGGUCCUGAGAGGGUUAUCCCCCACACUGGAACUGAGACACGGUCCAGACUCCUACGGGAGGCAGCAGUAGGGAAUAUUGGGCAAUGGGAGCAAUCCUGACCCAGCCAUGCCGCGUGAAGGAAAGACGGUCCUAUGGAUUGUAAACUUCUUUUGCCGCAGAGUAAACGGUGCCACGUGUGGUGCUUUGAGAGUAUGCGGCGAAUAAGUAUCGGCUAACUCCGUGCCAGCCGCUGC